rnacentral:rRNA from 1 species
AUUGAACGCUGGCGGCAGGCCUAACACAUGCAAGUCGGACGGUAGCACAGAGGAGCUUGCUCCUUGGGUGACGAGUGGCGGACGGGUGAGUAAUGUCUGGGGAUCUGCCCGAUAGAGGGGGAUAACCACUGGAGACGGUGGCUAAUACCGCAUAACGUCGCAAGACCAAAGAGGGGGACCUUCGGGCCUCUCACUAUCGGAUGAACCCAGAUGGGAUUAGCUAGUAGGCGGGGUAAUGGCCCACCUAGGCGACGAUCCCUAGCUGGUCUGAGAGGAUGACCAGCCACACUGGAACUGAGACACGGUCCAGACUCCUACGGGAGGCAGCAGUGGGGAAUAUUGCACAAUGGGCGCAAGCCUGAUGCAGCCAUGCCGCGUGUAUGAAGAAGGCCUUCGGGUUGUAAAGUACUUUCAGCGGGGAGGAAGGCGGUGCGGUUAAUAACCGCGCCGAUUGACGUUACCCGCAGAAGAAGCACCGGCUAACUCCGUGCCAGCAGCCGCCGUAA